rnacentral:rRNA from 1 species
UAAUAGUGUCUAUUAAAGUUGUUGCAGUUAAAAAGCUCGUAGUUGAAUGUUGGUGUCGAACGAGCGGUCAGCUUCGGCUGUACUGCUCUCUCGACUCCUUCCUUCUGUGGACUACGUCGCACUUUACUGUGUGGCGCUAGGACGCAGAUCGUUUACUGUGAAAAAAUUAGAGUGUUCAAAGCAGGCCGUACGCUUGAAUACAUUAGCAUGGAAUAAUGGAAUAGGACGUCGGGCCUAUUUUGUUGGUUCUAGGACCGUCGUAAUGAUUAAUAGGGACAGUUGGGGCCGUUUAUAUUCCGUAGUCAGAGGUGAAAUUCUUGGAUUUACGGAAGAUAAACUACUGCGAAAGCAUUCGGCAAGGAUGUUUUCGUUAA